AUUGAACGCUGGCGGCAUGCUUUACACAUGCAAGUCGAACGGUAACAGGCCGCAAGGUGCUGACGAGUGGCGAACGGGUGAGUGAUGCAUCGGAACGUGCCCAGUCGUGGGGGAUAACGCAGCGAAAGCUGUGCUAAUACCGCAUACGAUCUAUGGAUGAAAGCGGGGGACCGUAAGGCCUCGCGCGAUUGGAGCGGCCGAUGUCAGAUUAGGCAGUUGGUGGGGUAAAGGCUCACCAAGCCAACGAUCUGUAGCUGGUCUGAGAGGACGACCAGCCACACUGGGACUGAGACACGGCCCAGACUCCUACGGGAGGCAGCAGUGGGGAAUUUUGGACAAUGGGCGCAAGCCUGACCCAGCAAUGCCGCGUGCAGGAAGAAGGCCUUGGGUUGUAAACUGCUUUUGUACGGAACGAAACGGCGAGCUCUAAUACAGUUUGCUAAUGACGGUACCGUAAGAAUAAGCACCGGCUAACUACGUGCCAGCCGCCGCCGUAA
rnacentral:rRNA from 1 species